rnacentral:rRNA from 1 species
AUUGAACGCUGGCGGCAGGCCUAACACAUGCAAGUCGAGCGGUAACAGGAAAGUAGCUUGCUACUUUUGCUGACGAGCGGCGGACGGGUGAGUAAUGCCUAGGGAACUGCCCAGUCGAGGGGGAUAACAGUUGGAAACGACUGCUAAUACCGCAUACGCCCUACGGGGGAAAGGAGGGGACCUUCGGGCCUUUCGCGAUUGGAUGUACCUAGGUGGGAUUAGCUUGUUGGUGAGGUAAUGGCUCACCAAGGCGACGAUCCCUAGCUGGUCUGAGAGGAUGAUCAGCCACACUGGAACUGAGACACGGUCCAGACUCCUACGGGAGGCAGCAGUGGGGAAUAUUGCACAAUGGGGGAAACCCUGAUGCAGCCAUGCCGCGUGUGUGAAGAAGGCCUUCGGGUUGUAAAGCACUUUCAGCGAGGAGGAAAGGUUGAUGGUUAAUAACCAUUAGCUGUGACGUUACUCGCAGAAGAAGCACCGGCUAACUUCGUGCCAGCAGCCGCGGUAAUAC